rnacentral:rRNA from 1 species
GAUGAACGCUGGCGGCGUGCCUAAUACAUGCAAGUCGAGCGAACAGAUGAGGAGCUUGCUCCUCUGACGUUAGCGGCGGACGGGUGAGUAACACGUGGAUAACCUACCUAUAAGACUGGGAUAAAUUCGGGAAACCGGAGCCAAUACCGGCUAAUAUAUUGAAGCGCAUGGUUCAAUAGUGACAGACGGUUUUGCUGUCAAUCAUAGAUGGAUCCACGCCGCAUUAGCUAGUUGGUAAGGUAACGGCUUACCAAGGCAACGAUGCGUAGCCGACCUGAGAGGGUGAUCGGCCACACUGGAACUGAGACACGGUCCAGACUCCUACGGGAGGCAGCAGUAGGGAAUCUUCCGCAAUGGGCGAAAGCCUGACCGAGCCACGCCGCGUGAGUGAAGAAGGUCUUCGGAUCGUAAAGCUCUGUUAUUAGGGAAGAAAAAAUGUGUAAGUAACUAUGCACGUCUUGACGGUACCAAAACAGAAAGCCACGGCUAACUACGUG